UACGUAGGGUGCGAGCGUUGUCCGGAAUUAUUGGGCGUAAAGGGCUCGUAGGCGGUCCGUCACGUCGGGAGUGAAAACUCAGGGCUCAACCCUGAGCGUGCUUCCGAUACGGGCGGACUAGAGGUAUGCAGGGGAGAACGGAAUUCCUGGUGUAGCGGUGGAAUGCGCAGAUAUCAGGAGGAACACCGGUGGCGAAGGCGGUUCUCUGGGCAUUACCUGACGCUGAGGAGCGAAAGCAUGGGGAGCGAACAGG
rnacentral:rRNA from 1 species